rnacentral:rRNA from 1 species
UACGAAGGGUGCAAGCGUUACUCGGAAUUACUGGGCGUAAAGCGCGCGUAGGCGGCUACUUAAGUCGGAUGUGAAAGCCCUUGGCUCAACUGAGGAAGUGCACCCGAAACUGAGUGGCUAGAGUACGAAAGAGGGUCGCGGAAUUCCCGGUGUAGAGGUGAAAUUCGUAGAUAUCGGGAGGAACACCGGUGGCGAGGGCGGCGACCUGGGUCGAUACUGACGCUGAUGCGCGAAAGCGUGGGGAGCAAACAGG